CCUUUAAUGUUUGAUGUUCUAACGUGGACCCGUAAUCCGGGUUGCGGACAGUGUCUGGUGGGUAGUUUGACUGGGGCGGUCUCCUCCUAAAGAGUAACGGAGGAGCACGAAGGUUGGCUAAUCCUGGUCGGACAUCAGGAGGUUAGUGCAAUGGCAUAAGCCAGCUUGACUGCGAGCGUGACGGCGCGAGCAGGUGCGAAAGCAGGUCAUAGUGAUCCGGUGGUUCUGAAUGGAAGGGCCAUCGCUCAACGGAUAAAAGGUACUCCGGGGAUAACAGGCUGAUACCGCCCAAGAGUUCAUAUCGACGGCGGUGUUUGGCACCUCGAUGUCGGCUCAUCACAUCCUGGGGCUGAAGUAGGUCCCAAGGGUAUGGCUGUUCGCCAUUUAAAGUGGUACGCGAGCUGGGUUUAGAACGUCGUGAGACAGUUCGGUCCCUAUCUGCCGUGGGCGCUGGAGAACUGAGGGGGGCUGCUCCUAGUACGAGAGGACCGGAGUGGACGCAUCACUGGUGUUCGGGUUGUCAUGCCAAUGGCACUGCCCGGUAGCUAAAUGCGGAAGAGAUAAGUGCUGAAAGCAUCUAAGCACGAAACUUGCCCCGAGAUGAGUUCUCCCUGAGACUUAGAGUCUCCUGAAGGAACGUUGAAGACGACGACGUUGAUAGGCCGGGUGUGUAAGCGCAGCGAUGCGUUGAGCUAACCGGUACUAAUGAACCGUGAGGCUUAACCUUACAACGCCGAAG
rnacentral:rRNA from 2 species